GACGAACGCUGGCGGCGUGCUUAACACAUGCAAGUCGAACGGAAAGGCCUGCUUUCCCUUGUGGAUUGCGGGUACUCGAGUGGCGAACGGGUGAGUAACACGUGAGUGAUCUGCCCCCAACUUGGGUAUAAGCCUGGGAAACUGGGUCUAAUUCCCGAUAGGACUGCAGGGUGGUGCCUGUGGUGGAAAACGAUUUUCUAGUGGUUGGGGAUGAGCUCGCGGCCUAUCAGCUUGUUGGUGGGGUAAUGGCCUACCAAGGCGGCGACGGGUAGCCGGCCUGAGAGGGUGGACGGCCACAUUGGGACUGAGAUACGGCCCAGACUCCUACGGGAGGCAGCAGUGGGGAAUAUUGCCAAAUGGGCGGAAGCCUGAUGCAGCGACGCCGCGUGGGGGAUGACGGCCUUCGGGUUGUAAACUCCUUUCGACCGCGAGGAAGCCACCUGGUUGGAAGGGUGGUGACGGUAGUGGUAGAAGAAGCACCGGCUAACUACGUG
rnacentral:rRNA from 1 species